rnacentral:rRNA from 1 species
AGCGGCAAAAGCUCAAAUUUGAAAUCUAGCACCUUCGGUGUUCGAGUUGUAAUUUGAAGAUGGUAACCUUGGGUUUGGCUCUUGUCUAUGUUCCUUGGAACAGGACGUCAUAGAGGGUGAGAAUCCCGUCUGAUGAGAUGCCCAUUCCUAUGUAAGGUGCUAUCGAAGAGUCGAGUUGUUUGGGAAUGCAGCUCUAAGUGGGUGGUAAAUUCCAUCUAAAGCUAAAUAUUGGCGAGAGACCGAUAGCGAACAAGUACAGUGAUGGAAAGAUGAAAAGAACUUUGAAAAGAGAGUGAAAAAGUACGUGAAAUUGUUGAAAGGGAAGGGCAUUAGAUCAGACUUGGUGUUUUACGAUUAUCUUCUCUUCUUGAGUUGUGCACUCGUAUUUCACUGGGCCAGCAUCGAUUCGGAUGGCAAGAUAAUGGCAGUUGAAUGUGGCUUCACUUCGGUGGAGUGUUAUAGCUUCUGCUGAUAUUGCCUGUCUGGAUCGAGGGCUGCGUCUUUUGACUAGGAUGCUGGCGUAAUGAUCUAAUGCCGCCCGUC